ensembl:lncRNA
UUUUAAGCUUUUAUAGUUUCAGUGGAAAAAAGAAGUAGUAAUUGCAAUACUUCAUAUGAAUUGUUAACCCCUACAUACAAGAAAAUGGCCACAAUAAUGAUCUUAAUGAAAGAUCACAACAUUGUACCAUAUCAGGCACUAUCAUCCCAAACAUGUUGGAAAAAAACACAUUAGCAGAAAUAAGUUGUAUUAUUUAUAAAGGCUCUCUUAUUUCUUCAUUAAACAGCAAGUCCUGAGUUGAGCAAGGUCUUUGGACAGAGUCUGCUGAGCUGUGUGUUGAAUUCCUGUGCUGAACCUGGCCUUCAGUUCAGCAGCUGAAGAACUAUCAUCCAUUUCAGAGCUUAGCAUCAAACUCUCGCUUGUGAGUGAAACACACUCAGAAUUUUUAUUGCUGCUAAAUGCUGCUGCAAUGCAUAUGGCAAUUGGUAAGAACAGAUAAUAACGCUCCUAGAAGGCAACAAAAGCCCAGGACUGGUGACACAUCAAAGUGCUACUUAAAAUUAGACAUAAAAAUGAAGUACACCAGCCUCAUCUGUGAUUUCUGUUUGUGAUUCUCAGCCACUUCACCCUCGGAUGUAAAUGCCAUUAUCCUCUCCAACCCCCAUAUGCUGACCAGAAGCACUGCAGGGCUGCUACAUCUGAAAUCUCACCCCACUGACAGCCCAACCUGUGGCUUGAGGUGAAGCACCGCUGUGAUGAGAGUCUUGUGAUGCCAACAUUCCCCCAUAAACCCUGACUCUGCAGAACACCAUUCAGUGAUUGAGGCCAUCUUUUCAUAAAGCCCCAUCAGCACUCGGUGUGGAGUUCCAAGCGUGGCUUGCUGUGAGUUGUGGGACCAGCAGCGGGGAAGAUGUCGGACCACAAACGAAACUAUUGGCUUUACAUCUGUAGAAUGUAGUACGAUGAGUAUCAUCCGUCUACUCAGCCAAGUGUUGUGAUUAUUGAGUGAAUGUCAGUGACCUUUAAACAACCGGACAGCAACGGUUCCAUUUCAAAGGUACUUCUGGACACUUUGGAUGACGGAUCUUCUUUUUUCCACCUCUGUUAUGCUGUGACAUUGCCCUACGGGUCAAAAAAAGGUUCCGGGCUUGAGAAAAACGAUGCCAGCUGUUUCUGAACACGGCAUGUAUUAUAACAUUAUGCCUCUGAAGUAGCGUCAGCUCCUCAGAGCGCGCCCAGCUGAAAUGACAAGCCCUGUGAAGAGCAAAGCCUUUGCCUGGCGUUAUUUCUGACUCUGAUUUACCUAGAUUAAGAAAUAACCGUGUUUUGAAAGAACUCGGCUUGAUUUAUCGCUAGGUGAGCGCCUGAGCCUCCAGCAGGAGCAGCUGCCAGGUGGGUCAGGGCUGGCUCCUGUGCCAGCAGAGUGCACCGAACCAUUGGGGAGCACCAGCAGCCGCACCUUGUGCAGGAGGAGAGCCAGCAGCACCGACCUGCCUGCUUUUCUUUUUUCCCCCCCAAGGCAGGCAAUUAAAUUUGAAAUAGGAACGCUGUGUUUGCAGAGCUGAGCGUGCUAGCACGGUGACAUUUCAAAAGCUGAGAGUACGCUUCCCAUCUGGGUGGUCAGCGUGUGAGUUGAUGUAUGCACACAUACACCCGUGUGGACACAGCGCACAGAGGUGAGGUACGGACGGGCUCAGACUAAUGUUAGAAAUCCGUGUCCUCGGUUAAAUGCUCUAAGCUAUCGAUAUGUGCCAGCUUUUCCCACUCGAGACGUGUUACCCGUUACCAAAUGCAGCCCCGUGAACGCUGCAAAAUGAAUUAACUGCCUGAAGGGCUGAUCGGGGUCUGUGCUGUAAGUGAAUAAACGAGUCUCCAAGCUCUUCCCGUUCUUAGCA